rnacentral:rRNA from 1 species
UGCAAGUCGAGCGGAUGACGGGAGCUUGCUCCUUGAUUCAGCGGCGGACGGGUGAGUAAUGCCUAGGAAUCUGCCUGGUAGUGGGGGACAACGUUUCGAAAGGAACGCUAAUACCGCAUACGUCCUACGGGAGAAAGCAGGGGACCUUCGGGCCUUGCGCUAUCAGAUGAGCCUAGGUCGGAUUAGCUAGUUGGUGGGGUAAUGGCUCACCAAGGCGACGAUCCGUAACUGGUCUGAGAGGAUGAUCAGUCACACUGGAACUGAGACACGGUCCAGACUCCUACGGGAGGCAGCAGUGGGGAAUAUUGGACAAUGGGCGAAAGCCUGAUCCAGCCAUGCCGCGUGUGUGAAGAAGGUCUUCGGAUUGUAAAGCACUUUAAGUUGGGAGGAAGGGCAGUAAGUUAAUACCUUGCUGUUUUGACGUUACCGACAGAAUAAGCACCGGCUAACUCUGUGCCAGCAGCCGCGGUAAUACAGAGGGUGCAAGCGUUAAUCGGAAUUACUGGGCGUAAAGCGCGCGUAGGUGGUUCGUUAAGUUGGAUGUGAAAGCCCCGGGCUCAACCUGGGAACUGCAUCCAAAACUGGCGAGCUAGAGUACGGUAGAGGGUGGUGGAAUUUCCUGUGUAGCGGUGAAAUGCGUAGAUAUAGGAAGGAACACCAGUGGCGAAGGCGACCACCUGGACUGAUACUGACACUGAGGUGCGAAAGCGUGGGGGAGCAAACAGGAUUAGAUACCCUGGUAGUCCACGCCGUAAACGAUGUCAACUAGCCGUUGGAAUCCU